rnacentral:lncRNA from 1 species
CUUAUCAUUAAUGCCAUCACAAUGCUCAUUGCUCACGAAGGAGACCAAAACAAAAUAUCAGAUAAAGAUCUCAAAGCACUGUUUCACGCUUUGAGACAUUAGGUUGGAUCCAAAGCAGGUUUCACAACGCUUACUAGCUUCUAUGAGAAGGUUGGUGUGAAAACUGUGAAAGCUUU